UACGGAGGGUGCAAGCGUUAUCCGGAUUCACUGGGUUUAAAGGGUGCGUAGGCGGCUAAAUAAGUCAGUGGUGAAAGCCCGCAGCUCAACUGCGGAAUUGCCAUUGAAACUGUCUAGCUUGAAUCUGGUUGAAGUGGGCGGAAUACACCAUGUAGCGGUGAAAUGCUUAGAUAUGUUUUAGAACACCGAUUGCGAAGGCAGCUCACUAAGCCAAUAUUGACGCUGAGGCACGAAAGCGUGGGUAGCAAACAGG
rnacentral:rRNA from 1 species